GAUGAACGCUGGCGGCGUGCCUAAUACAUGCAAGUCGAGCGAACAGACGAGCCCCUUGCCCCCCCGACGCUACCCCCCGCCCGGCGAGUAACACGCGGCUCCCCCCCCUAUCAGACUGGCAUAACCCCGCGACACCCGAGCUAACACCGGCCCAUCCCUCGCACCGCCCGGUCCACUCGUCAACGACGCUUCCGCUCCCACUUCUAGCUGGAUCCGCGCCGCAUUAGCUAGUUGGUAAGGUCACGGCUUACCAAGGCAACGCUGCGUAGCCGACCUGAGAGGGUGUUCGGCCACACUGGAACUGAGACACGGUCCAGACUCCUACGGGAGGCAGCAGUAGGGAAUCUUCCGCAAUGGGCGAAAGCCUGACGGAGCAACGCCGCGUGAGUGAUGAAGGUCUUCGGAUCGUAAAACUCUGUUAUUAGGGAAGAACAAAUGUGUAAGUAACUAUGCACGUCUUGACGGUACCUAAUCAGAAAGCCACGGCUAACUACGUG
rnacentral:rRNA from 1 species